CAAAGGGUAAGAUGUGCUUCCUAGUUUUCUUUUAGGAGAGAAGUGUUGGAAUUUGUGACGAGCCAAGCGAGACACAUCUGAGAUCUGGCUGCCGGACACUUUGAGAUCCUGAAAAAUAAUUGUGCCAUAUCUUCACAAGACUGCUCCGCAGGUCAAGGCUGCUGGGUGGCGGCAGUGAGCUCUGACCUUUGUUUGACCAGCCUGAGAGACAGUGCUGCGCAGGAUCGGACAGAUGCAGGAAGAUGUGAGAUUGAGCUACGGAAACCAUCUCGCACACAGGUCCUGUGAGUUCCAGCGAUAAGGCGGACUUGGGCCUCGCAUCCUGCGGCCUGUUGUGGACUCGCAGAUGUCGGUCGCUGUCUUUGAAAAGGUCAGACGGUGUCGUAUGUUCAGCAGAGCGUCCACUCUGUUUGGAGGUCAAAGGUGGCGUUGUAAUAUUGCUCCGG